rnacentral:rRNA from 1 species
GAUGAACGCUGGCGGCGUGCCUAAUACAUGCAAGUCGAGCGAACAGACGAGGAGCUUGCUCCUCUGACGUUAGCGGCGGACGGGUGAGUAACACGUGGAUAACCUACCUAUAAGACUGGGAUAACUUCGGGAAACCGGAGCUAAUACCGGAUAAUAUAUUGAACCGCAUGGUUCAAUAGUGAAAGACGGUUUUGCUGUCACUUAUAGAUGGAUCCGCGCCGCAUUAGCUAGUUGGUAAGGUAACGGCUUACCAAGGCAACGAUGCGUAGCCGACCUGAGGGGGGGGUUCGGCACCACGGAACCGGAGACCCGGCCCGGCCCCCUACGGGGGGAGCAAGUGGGAAAUUUUCCCAAAGGGGGGAAAGCUUACCGGAGCAACGCGGGGGGGGUGAGGAAGGUUUCCGGUCCGUAAAACCUUGUUUUUGGGGAAAAAAAAAUGUGUAAGAACCAUGGCCGGUUUGGACGGUACCAAAUCAGAAAGCCCCGGCAAAUUACUG